AUCCAUUUAGGAUUUUAAAACAAUCUAUCACCUAUCUUUGACCAUAUGGACUAAACUUGAUAUCCACCAAUAGACACUGAUGCCUGCAAGUCAACAGCAUAAAGAGUGGUAAAGUCAGUGCUGCAAAAGAUGAAAUGUUUUUAAUGUGGCUUUGAUAUCAGGAUGAUGCUGGCCUCCUAAAAUGAGUUUGGGAGGAUUCCCUCUUUUUCUAUUGAUUGUAAUAGUUUCAGAAGAAAUGGUACCAGCUCCUCCUUGUACCUCUGG
rnacentral:lncRNA from 1 species